rnacentral:rRNA from 1 species
AUUGAACGCUGGCGGCAGGCCUAACACAUGCAAGUCGAACGAGUGGCGGACGGGUGAGUAAUGUCUUGGAAACUGCCCGAUGUAGGGGGAUAACUACUGGAAACGUUAGCUAAUACCGCAUACCAUCGGAUGUGCCCAGAGGGGAUUAGCUAGUGGGGGGGGUAACGGCUCACCUAGGCGAAGAUCCCGAGCUGGUCUGAGAGGAUGACCAGCCACACUGGAACUGAGACACGGUCCAGACGCCUACGGGAGGCAGCAGUGGGGAAUAUUGGACAAUGGGCGCAAGCCUGAUGCAGCCAUGCCGCGUGUAUGAAGAAGGCCUUCGGGUUGUAAAGUACUUUCAGCGAGGAGGCGUUACUCGAAGAAGAAGCACCGGCUAACUCCGUGCCAGCCGCCGCGGUAAUAC